CACAACAUACAUAUUGAGUAUAAGUAUACACCUUAAUAUUCCAAUCUUCAUCAGAGUAUUAUCUAGACAUUUGAGAUUACCGGCUAAUAAGAAAACUAUAUAAACUGGUCACCGUCCAGAUAAAAGUCAAAACUGGACAAAGCCAUUAUAUUGUUUGUACACAAACAGCAGACUAAAUUAAAAUGGAGAGGAAAGUAUUAGUUCUUGUAGCAGUAAUUUUUCUUGUUGGUACAGUAUGUGCAACAUGUCGGACAAACUGUGCACACAGAUAUCAGGAAGAUGUAAACAGCUGUGAAGCCCACGGAGGUUCAAAUGAUGAAUGCGUAGAGAAGGCAACUGCACACAUGCUCCACUGCAUGAAACCAUGUUCAUCCAGAAAAAGAAGCGUGAACUGGAAGCUAUUCCAUGUGUAAAUAAUUAUUGACUUUCAAUUUUGACGAGGACUGUUUUGGAGAAAAUAGGUCCGAUAUACAAAUUCAUGAAACUUGAUAUUUAAAAUAACUGUCUGUGUUGUAUUACACUACACCAAGUUUGUUUGUUGCAUUUAAUUGUACAGAAACAGUAAGACUUAAUUUAGUGUAUGUAUUUAUUUAAUGGUUCAACAUGAAAUGUUGUUUUCUUUGUGCAAUGUCUUAUAUGACGAUACAUGUAUGUAAUACAACAUAAAUUAUUUUUUAUACUAAAAAUAAAUCAUGCUUAUUUUA